rnacentral:lncRNA from 1 species
UCAUGUUAGGAUGAGGUUCUCCUCCUGUUCCUAAUGUGCUUAAUUUUGUUUGUAUGGGAGAGUUAUCUCCUAUCGUUAUAAGCUCAUACCAAAAGAAAAAAAUAUGCAAAUAUGAAAAGAAUUUUCAUUCAGGGCAAAGUUGUUGGUAAUACAUUUGUAGAUUUUUCGAACCCUAUAGCCGCGGAAGGUCUGCUCCCCGUCAGGGUCCCCCCGAGAUAGAGUUGAUAAUUCCAAUUGGAGGCCGAUCUCCUGGCUGCUCCUCCCUCCUUGGUGGUUCUGACUGCGAUAGGGCCCUAGGCCGAUCUUCUCUUCCUUCAGGCCGACGUCGAAUGAAUCUGUCGAGCCGACCUCAUCUGAUAAGCUCCUCAAUCUCAUCUCGGAGCUGAAUACAUUCCUCCGUAUCAUGGCCGUGGUCAUGAUGAUAGAGGCAGAAUUUGUUCGGGUUGCACUUUUCGGGGUGCGAGCGCAUCCUCUCUGGUCUUGGAAGCUGCUCCCUAACCUCCAUCAGCACUUGAGUUUUUGAUGCGUGGAGAGGGGCAUAGCUGUGGAAUCUUUUGGGAGGAGAGCCUCGCCGAACUCGAUGGUCUGGGCUUCUCUGUUUACGGGCUCGGGGAGGAGUCCGGACAUGCCUAUAUCCGGGA